rnacentral:rRNA from 1 species
GGUUAAGCGACUAAGCGUACACGGUGGAUGCCCUGGCAGUCAGAGGCGAUGAAGGACGUGCUAAUCUGCGAUAAGCGCCGGUAAGGUGAUAUGAACCGUUAUAACCGGCGAUUUCCGAAUGGGGAAACCCAGUGUGACUCGUCACACUAUCAUUAACUGAAUCCAUAGGUUAAUGAGGCGAACCGGGGGAACUGAAACAUCUAAGUACCCCGAGGAAAAGAAAUCAACCGAGAUUCCCCCAGUAGCGGCGAGCGAACGGGGAGGAGCCCAGAGCCUGAAUCAGCAUGUGUGUUAGUGGAAGCGUCUGGAAAGGCGCGCGAUACAGGGUGACAGCCCCGUACACAAAAGCGCAUGUGCUGUGAGCUCGAUGAGUAGGGCGGGACACGUGGUAUCCUGUCUGAAUAUGGGGGGACCAUCCUCCAAGGCUAAAUACUCCUGACUGACCGAUAGUGAACCAGUACCGUGAGGGAAAGGCGAAAAGAACCCCGGCGAGGGGAGUGAAAAAGAACCUGAAACCGUGUACGUACAAGCAGUGGGAGCCCCACCACCAAAGCAUUCUCUGGUGUUGAAGGCCCUGCAAAGCAGCAUCGCGGUGGCGGAGCGUCGUUUGCGACGCCCAACACACAAAACAAGCGGUGAGUGCUUUGGGGUGGGGUGACUGCGUACCUUUUGUAUAAUGGGUCAGCGACUUAUAUUCUGUAGCAAGGUUAACCGCAUAGGGGAGCCGGAGGGAAACCGAGUCUUAAUUGGGCGUUAAGUUGCAGGGUAUAGACCCGAAACCCGGUGAUCUAGCCAUGGGCAGGUUGAAGGUUGGGUAACACUAACUGGAGGACCGAACCGACUAAUGUUGAAAAAUUAGCGGAUGACCUGUGGCUGGGGGUGAAAGGCCAAUCAAACCGGGAGAUAGCUGGUUCUCCCCGAAAGCUAUUUAGGUAGCGCCUCGUGAAUUCAUCUCCGGGGGUAGAGCACUGUUUCGGCUAGGGGGCCAUCCCGGCUUACCAACCCGAUGCAAACUGCGAAUACCGGAGAAUGUUAUCACGGGAGACACACGGCGGGUGCUAACGUCCGUCGUGAAGAGGGAAACAACCCAGACCGCCAGCUAAGGUCCCAAAGUCAUGGUUAAGUGGGAAACGAUGUGGGAAGGCCCAGACAGCCAGGAUGUUGGCUUAGAAGCAGCCAUCAUUUAAAGAAAGCGUAAUAGCUCACUGGUCGAGUCGGCCUGCGCGGAAGAUGUAACGGGGCUAAACCAUGCACCGAAGCUGCGGCAGCGACACUGUGUGUUGUUGGGUAGGGGAGCGUUCUGUAAGCCUGCGAAGGUGGCCUGUGAGGGUUGCUGGAGGUAUCAGAAGUGCGAAUGCUGACAUAAGUAACGAUAAAGCGGGUGAAAAGCCCGCUCGCCGGAAGACCAAGGGUUCCUGUCCAACGUUAAUCGGGGCAGGGUGAGUCGACCCCUAAGGCGAGGCCGAAAGGCGUAGUCGAUGGGAAACGGGUUAAUAUUCCCGUACUUGGUGUUACUGCGAAGGGGGGACGGAGAAGGCUAUGUUGGCCGGGCGACGGUUGUCCCGGUUUAAGCGUGUAGGUGUGUGUUCCAGGUAAAUCCGGUUCACUUUAACACUGAGGCGUGAUGACGAGGCACUACGGUGCUGAAGCAACAAAUGCCCUGCUUCCAGGAAAAGCCUCUAAGCAUCAGGUAACAUCAAAUCGUACCCCAAACCGACACAGGUGGUCAGGUAGAGAAUACCAAGGCGCUUGAGAGAACUCGGGUGAAGGAACUAGGCAAAAUGGUGCCGUAACUUCGGGAGAAGGCACGCUGACACGUAGGUGAAGUGAUUUACUCACGGAGCUGAAGUCAGUCGAAGAUACCAGCUGGCUGCAACUGUUUAUUAAAAACACAGCACUGUGCAAACACGAAAGUGGACGUAUACGGUGUGACGCCUGCCCGGUGCCGGAAGGUUAAUUGAUGGGGUCAGCGCAAGCGAAGCUCCUGAUCGAAGCCCCGGUAAACGGCGGCCGUAACUAUAACGGUCCUAAGGUAGCGAAAUUCCUUGUCGGGUAAGUUCCGACCUGCACGAAUGGCGUAAUGAUGGCCAGGCUGUCUCCACCCGAGACUCAGUGAAAUUGAACUCGCUGUGAAGAUGCAGUGUACCCGCGGCAAGACGGAAAGACCCCGUGAACCUUUACUAUAGCUUGACACUGAACAUUGAGCCUUGAUGUGUAGGAUAGGUGGGAGGCUUUGAAGUGUGGACGCCAGUCUGCAUGGAGCCGACCUUGAAAUACCACCCUUUAAUGUUUGAUGUUCUAACGUGGACCCGUGAUCCGGGUUGCGGACAGUGUCUGGUGGGUAGUUUGACUGGGGCGGUCUCCUCCUAAAGAGUAACGGAGGAGCACGAAGGUUGGCUAAUCCUGGUCGGACAUCAGGAGGUUAGUGCAAUGGCAUAAGCCAGCUUGACUGCGAGCGUGACGGCGCGAGCAGGUGCGAAAGCAGGUCAUAGUGAUCCGGUGGUUCUGAAUGGAAGGGCCAUCGCUCAACGGAUAAAAGGUACUCCGGGGAUAACAGGCUGAUACCGCCCAAGAGUUCAUAUCGACGGCGGUGUUUGGCACCUCGAUGUCGGCUCAUCACAUCCUGGGGCUGAAGUAGGUCCCAAGGGUAUGGCUGUUCGCCAUUUAAAGUGGUACGCGAGCUGGGUUUAGAACGUCGUGAGACAGUUCGGUCCCUAUCUGCCGUGGGCGCUGGAGAACUGAGGGGGGCUGCUCCUAGUACGAGAGGACCGGAGUGGACGCAUCACUGGUGUUCGGGUUGUCAUGCCAAUGGCACUGCCCGGUAGCUAAAUGCGGAAGAGAUAAGUGCUGAAAGCAUCUAAGCACGAAACUUGCCCCGAGAUGAGUUCUCCCUGAGACUUAGAGUCUCCUGAAGGAACGUUGAAGACGACGACGUUGAUAGGCCGGGUGUGUAAGCGCAGCGAUGCGUUGAGCUAACCGGUACUAAUGAACCGUGAGGCUUAACCUU